CCUCUGCCCCACAUAGGGUAUGUUUGUUUCAACGUAAGUAGACUUGGGGUGGAAGUGGACUUUGAGUUGAAGUGGAGUUGGGGUGAAAAUUAGUUUACUUCUGCUGUUUGUUUCUAACUGUGGAAGUGCAGUUCUGCGAGUUCUGUUGUUUGUUUGGUAGGAAGUAGAUGACGUAAAAAGUGUAGCUCUCCACCCCCGGUAUACUUACCCCCAAAGUGAUAUCAUUGUCUAUUUUGUAACUUAUAGUGAAUAAUAUAUUAUAAUAAAUAAAAAUUAAUAUAAUUAUAUAUGUAUAUAAUUAUAUAUAUGUAUAAUUAUAAAAUAAAAUUUUUAAAAAAUAUAUUAUUUGUUUGCAUAUAAAUUAUAAUAAUGCAACAAAUAAAAUUCUAAAGUUAAAAAAUUAUUAACAUUUAACAAAUUCAUUUUUCAUCAUUUUCUAAAUAUACAAAUUAAACAAAAAAUAUAUUAAAGUUUACCUAAUCAAAUUUGAUCAUAUUCUAGAAGAGAUAAUCCUAACACAUCAAUCCAUUCUUGUAUUUUUUUUCACUUCACCGGAAUUGACUUCGCCCCAUGGGAGGGCGAAGUCAAGUUCACUAGUUUAGGUGAACUGGACUUUCGGGCGUAAUAAAAUUACGGUGAACCAAACAGUAGAAGUGGUCAGUUUUCACCGAAAAUCACUUCCCCCGUCCCACUUCCACCCCACUUCCCUCGAAACAAACAGGCCCUAGCUGAUUUAUGUUCCCAUCCUUUUCUUAAGACCAAAAAAUCUAACUAUUUA
rnacentral:lncRNA from 1 species